UACGAAGGGGCUAGCGUUGUUCGGAUUUACUGGGCGUAAAGCGCACGUAGGCGGAUCUUUAAGUCAGAGGUGAAAUCCCAAGGCUCAACCUUGGAACUGCCUUUGAUACUGGGGAUCUUGAGUCCGGGAGAGGUGAGUGGAACUGCGAGUGUAGAGGUGAAAUUCGUAGAUAUUCGCAAGAACACCAGUGGCGAAGGCGGCUCACUGGCCCGGUACUGACGCUGAGGUGCGAAAGCGUGGGGAGCAAACAGG
rnacentral:rRNA from 1 species